UUUUCGUAAGAUUAUUGACAUACAUGUUACAAAGUAUAUUUUUACAAUCCUUUUUAUAAAGUUACAACCUAAAUAAAAUUUAUUUUUAAUGAUUUUAAAGUUUGACAGACAUGCACAAAUUGUUGGCAUUUUUUUAAACAAGUAAAAGUAGGAAAUACAUAAAAUUGUAGGUACUUUCAAGAAAUAUAGUUAACUGUAAGUGCUGUAUUUUAAUAAUCUAUCAAAAAUCAAAAUCAUCAGGAUAAUAUUAGGUAUUGAUUUUCAGACAAGAAUUAGAUUACAGUGAUGGUCAAAAGCAUUUAGAUAUUGCUUUGAAAUCUACAGAUAAGAGCAACAACACAAUAAAAAACCAAAAUAUGAACACCAGCAACUACAACAGGACCCAUUAAAUGAAUAUUAUACACAGCAAUAACAGCAUCAAAUAAUGGACAUAAUGGACCCUACUGCUCAAAUCAAAAACAAAAUUUCAGCAUUACCACUUUAUUGGUUAUAUCAAUAAAAGAAAUUAUUGAGUUUAUGAGUCUAGAUCCUACAAGCAAGCAGAUCUAUCACAUAAUUUAAAAUGAAGAUUUAUCUAUUAUAGUAUGUAUAAACACUUUGCAUCUUUUAUUCAAUGUUGUAAUGAAUUA